rnacentral:misc_RNA from 1 species
ACACCACCAGAUACAUUCUGUAAAUAGUUUGCUGUGGUUGCUUAGGGAAUAGGCAUAGAAUACAACCAUGGUUAUAAGAUAGAGCAGGUGUAUCUGGGGUAACGGCGGAGACCCGUGACGGCGCCGCUACUCAGAUAUCUACCUAGGUAGAAGAAGGUUGCAGGGACACAUUGCAUAUGUCAAUAAGAGAUAGGAUUUAAAAA